ACUCCUACGGGAGGCAGCAGUGGGGAAUAUUGCGCAAUGGGCGGAAGCCUGACGCAGCGACGCCGCGUGGGGGAUGACGGCCUUCGGGUUGUAAACCUCUUUCGGCCUUGACGAAGCUCUUCGGGGUGACGGUAGGGGUAGAAGAAGCACCGGCCAACUACGUGCCAGCAGCCGCGGUAAUACGUAGGGUGCGAGCGUUGUCCGGAAUUAUUGGGCGUAAAGAGCUCGUAGGCGGUCUGUCGCGUCGGUCGUGAAAACUUGGGGCUUAACCCUGAGCUUG
rnacentral:rRNA from 1 species